GGGGCUGUAGUUCAGUUGGUUAGAAUACCGCACUGUCACUGCGGAGGUCGUGGGUUCGAACCCCAUCAGUCUCGCCA
rnacentral:tRNA from 1 species